UACGUAGGGUGCAAGCGUUAAUCGGAAUUACUGGGCGUAAGACGUGCGCAGGCGGUUAUGUAAGACAGGUGUGAAAUCCCCGGGCUUAACCCUGGGAACUGCAUUUGUGACUGCAUAGCUAGAGUACGGUAGAGGGGAUGGAAUUCCGCGUGUAGCAGUGAAAUGCGUAGAUAUGCGGAGGAACACCGAUGGCGAAGGCAAUCCCCUGGACCCUGUACUGACGCUCAUGCAC
rnacentral:rRNA from 1 species